CACUGCACCCCUCCUCUUUCCUGCUCCGAGCAGCUGAAAAUAGGAUUGGUCAGGAGAAAACAGGAAUGCAAAACUCUUAGUUAUAUAAGCCGACCCCAGACAUCUCGUACAAGCUUUCGUACAUUUUCAGGGUGAUCUCUAACUGUAUGACAUACAGGCAGCAGUGAAGAAGCACAUUCUGCUGCAGUUCUUGAGAAGUAGACGAGAUGGGGCUCACAGGAUUGCUCUCAAAGUGGUUGGAAGAGGUGCUGACCCAUUCUACCGUCAUUGGCAGAGUCUGGCUGACUGUCCUUUUCUUCUUUAGAGUCUUAAUGCUGAUGGUGCACAACAGCAUCUUUGCACAGAAGUCGUUAACAUCAAUGGUCUGCAAUACAAAACAGCCUGGCUGUACGGAGUCUUGCCAUAAUACACUUUUCCCAGUGGCUCCUGCCCAGUUUUGGUUUGCUCAGAUCAUUUUUGUAUCUACUCCGACUGUGCUGUACCUUGCCUAUGUGAUGCAUGUGACCUACAGAGCUUCCAAACACCCAAAGAAUGUGAGAAAAUGUGUGAUGCUUUGCUACUUUGCUCAACUGCUUGUGAAAACGAUCCUAGAAGUUGUUUUUAUUACUUUACAAUUUCUUUUUUAUGAUAUAUUUAUAGGUAAUCAUGUGAAAUGUGGCACACCUCCCUGCCCCUUUAGUGUGAGCUGCUAUAUGCCACAUUCAAAUGAGCUGAAUGUUAUUUCCAUCUACAUCCUCGUUGCUGCAUGUGUGUCUGUGGCUCUCAAUGUGCUGGAGGGGCUGCUGCUUCUGAAGAAGUUGAGGAGGAGACAAGCUGAAAAGCCUAGUGUUGAGUCUGCAAAUUUGGUGAAUGUGAGUGGCAAGCACCUUGAAAACAAUCUCUGCAAUCAAGUAGAAUCUUGUGAUCCAAAGCAGGCAGAUGCAAUGAAGAAAUGCAGUUACUGAUGUAUGGAAGAAAGAAGAAAGUUCACGCUUGGCGGUUCUACCUAAUAAAUCUCAAACUCUCCACCACCAAACAUCUGUGAUGAAUUUUUACAAAUGUUUGUACCGUAUAUCAGUCUCUUCCACCUCCUAUAUGACUUGUUCAGUCCACCUGAGGAUCUUCAGCAAAGCAGAAUGGGUCUGGAGCUCCCAGCCUUCUACAGUUUUGCAUUCACUCAGAUUUAACCUAUUCAGUCUGUCUACAAACAUAUGUUUCCAUAGCACCUGUUGCCAGGUUGGACAAAGCAUUUGCAACACCCCAGUGAAACAUAUAUUUUAAUAUUUUGCACUAUGAAAUUGUAAUUCUUCUAUUGUAAGAUUCUAUUGUAAGAUUUAGACUUAAUUUAUAUAUAUAUAUAUAUAUAUAUAUAUAUAUAUAUAUAUAUAUAUAUAUUUGGAAAAUAUUAUUUUCUCUCCAAGCUCAGGGAAGCACAAGCUCUAAAAAAGAAAAGUGUCUGGAUAAGUAGAAAGGAAUGACUUUCCCCAGAGAAAAGGAAAUCCAUGGGAACACUGCUGGUCAGAUUCAGGUCUUUAAAAUUAUGCAUGUCUAGACGUUGUUUGUAUGUAUGUGUAAGAACUGGGUUUUAAUCCUUUUAUUUAAAAAACAACUCACAGAUACAUCUAUCCUCAACUGAGACAAACGGACAUUAGCAAAAACCCCAGUCAAACAUAUACUGAUAUACUGUAUUUUGCUAUAUGAAUUUGUUUCUAAUUUGUAAGAUUUUUCCAGACUUCAUUUAUAGACUUCUUUUGAAAAUCUUUUUUUCUCCAAGAUUGCCAAUAAUUUGCAGAACCUCCAAAAGAAGUAGAGAAGUGUCUGGAUGAGAAAAAGAAAUGAUUUCCUCAGAGAAAAGGAAGUUCACAGGAAUAGUUACUUUUCUGGAGAAAUAUAUUUGCCUUUUUUUUUUUUGAAAA